UACAGAGGUCCCAAGCGUUGUUCGGAUUCAUUGGGCGUAAAGGGUGCGUAGGUGGCGCCGUAAGUGGGGUGUGAAAUUUCGGAGCUUAACUCCGAAACUGCAUUCCAUACUGCGGUGCUUGAGGACUGGAGAGGAGACUGGAAUUUACGGUGUAGCAGUGAAAUGCGUAGAUAUCGUAAGGAAGACCAGUGGCGAAGGCGGGUCUCUGGACAGUUCCUGACGCUGAGGCACGAAGGCCAGGGGAGCAAACGGG
rnacentral:rRNA from 1 species